rnacentral:rRNA from 1 species
CAAUAGCGUAUAUUAAAGUUGUUGCAGUUAAAAAGCUCGUAGUUGAAUUUCUGGCGGGCGCGCCGGUCUUCCAAGUGUUGUACUGGGCGCAGUCCGCCAUCCUUGUGGAGAGGGCUCGCAUUGAGUUGCGUGUCGGAUCUGCAUCAUUUACUGUGAAAAAAUUAGAGUGUUUAAAGCAGGCUGUCGCUUGAAUACAUUAGCAUGGAAUGAUAAGAUAGGACUUCGGUCUAUUUUGUUGGUUGCGAACCGAGGUAAUGAUUAAUAGGGAUAGUUGGGGGUAUUCAUAUUUAAUUGUCAGAGGUGAAAUUCUUGGAUUUAUGAAAGAUGAACAACUGCGAAAGCAUUUACCAAGGAUGUUUUCAUUAA